GCACUGCACCGAGCUUGCACAGGGCGAGGCGGGGGCAGGACCUGGGACCCAGCCACCCCGGAGGAAACCGGAGAGGAAGCCAGCUUGGUCUUGCUCUCUGCCUCGUCCCAAUCCCCGGCUCUUACUAAAUGCAGAUCCCUUGGCUGAAUGCCUUUUAAUCUGCAUACAUGCAUCUCAUACCACACAGCCCAAAUUUCUACAACUUCGUCCAGGUGCAGUCUUCUCAGAACUACAAAGCAAGAAAAGAUCACCUUUGGGCUCAGGAACUCACAGUCGUUCUCCCUCUCCCGGAAGGCACAAUGACCAGGACAGUACCGAGCUUUGCAGCCAUAUUGAACUCACCUCCAACUCAGCACAUUCAACCCAAUCAGUCAAAAUCGUCUUUUCCUGCAGGUAAAUAAUGCUGAAACUGUGGGAAGAUGGGAUGGUAAGCACAAAGUCUGUUUCUGGAAGCACGGGCGCUGUCUCUGAAGACAAAUUGAUUGUAACAGAAGCAGACCCGGUGGAACGACCUCCAUGCUGAACCCUCAGCUCCCCCUGCAUUUGGACUGUGGCCUGAUGGAAGAUAAAGAGACUGAUCUCAGAGUGGCACAGAUCUACAACCACGUGAAGAAUUGGAUUUAUAUUCAUCUGACUCCAGAAAGUUCCUGAGAUUCCUCUGCUUCAUCAUCUUUCCCGUGCCCUUUAAGACACGUUAUCAAAUAGCAACAGGUGGUGCAAUCACUAGACAAAUUAUUCUCAGUCUUUUUCUUUGCCAUUAGCACACCCGGAAGGAGAUGUGUUGGACACGUUUUCCUAGUCACCACCCCAUGAAUCUUCCAUACCACAGGUAUACUGUGUAUUCGGCUAUGUAUCAUCUGUACACCUGUUUCUAAAACAUAGAAACAGUAAGAGCCCCCAAUCCAAGAAUCCAUUUUAGUCCUCUUGGGUGUGAUGUCACCCCCCAAAAAUGCAUAUGCUCUGGACUCAGUCACAAACACAUUACGAAUGCAUGAUCACUUAAGAACGUUACCAAAGUUUAUAAAUUUGAGAUGAUAAUUCUAUAUUAUUUAGUUCAUUUUAGAGAUAAGUAAGAACCAGAGAUUCCAGAGAGGUAGACCAAGCUGACAGAGCAAGGAAAGGCAGAGCCAGACAUGCAGCUGAAGCAUCUGGAUUCCCACUCUAGUGCUCCAGCUUAACCCAGAUGAUCAGUAAAUGAUUGCUUUUCAAUGUGCUCUCAACACUUCCCACAUUGCCUCCUUCAUUAAUAAAGGAACGAUAUUUUGGGAGAAACCAGAAUCUGCCCUGGGGCAAUAGAAAGGCAGCAAAGCAACCUGCAUUCAAGUCUUUGGGGGAUUUUUUGGAAAGCAGAAUGUAUUAGUCUGCUAUUGCUGCUGUAACAAAUUACCAUCAACUUAGUGGCUUAAAACAACACACAUUUGUUGUCUUAAAGUUCUGGAGGUCAGAGCCCAAAAUGGGUCUCAUGGAGCUAAAAUCAAGAUGUCAGAAGGGCUGUGUUCUUUUGAGAGGCCCUGGGGGGAGAAUCUGUUCCAUGCCUUCUCCAGCUCCUGGAAGUCACCUGCUUGCUUUGGCUGUGGGGCACUUCCAGCAACUGCAUCACUCUAACCUCUGCUACCAUAGCACAUCUCCUCUUCUGACUCUCACUCUCUUCUUUCUUUCCCUUAUAAGGACACUUGUAGUCCAGGAUAAUCUCCCCAUUUCAAAAUCCUUUACUUAAUCACAUCUGCAAAGUCCGUCUUGGCCUAUAAGGUGACAUACUUGCAGAUUCCAUAAAUUAGAAUUUGGACAUCUUUGGGUGGCUGUUAUUAUGCCUGCCACACAGACCAAUGCAUACACAACGUGACCAAUCCAUCUUGGUUUGUCUGAGACUAUAUUGGCUUUAAAGCUGAAAGUUCGGCAUCCCAGGAAUCCCCUCAGUCCCAGGCAAUUCAGGACAAUUCGUCGUCACCCUGUGUGCACCUCCUAUGUGCUCCUUCAACUUAGAGAGUUGGUGUUUUCUCUCCUCUUCAGAGGACUAACUCCUCUUCACCUAAAGAGUACACAGAGGAUGGGUGUAGUGGCUUAGGCCUGUAAUCUUAGUGCAUUUGGGACACUGAGGCAGGAGGUUCACUUGAGCCCAGGAGUUUGAGACCAUUCAGGGCAACAUAGUGAGACCCUUUCUCUACAAAAGUUUUUUAAAGAUUAGUUGGGCAUGGUGGCACAUGCCUGUAGUCCCAGCUACUUGGGAGGGAGGCUAAGGCGGAAGGAUCCCCUGAGCCCGGGAUUCAAGGCUGCAGUGAGCUAUGAUAGUGCCACUGUACUGUGGCUGAGGCAACAAAACGAGGCCCUGUCUCUAAAAAUAAAAAAUAAAAAAAAAGACUGCACAGAAUAGACUGAUGGACUGAAGGCUCUGCCCUUAUCAAACAUUUGCCAAGUAAUAAUUACAAGUUUGCCUCCUAGACUGGGUGGCUUCUC
rnacentral:lncRNA from 1 species